rnacentral:rRNA from 2 species
AGUGGCAGACGGGUGAGUAAUGUAUAGGAAUCUACCUAGUAGUACGGAAUAAUUGUUGGAAACGGCAACUAAUACCGUAUACGCCCUACGGGGGAAAAAUUUAUUGCUAUUAGAUGAGCCUAUAUUAGAUUAGUUAGUUGGUGAGGUAAAGGCUUACCAAGACAAUGAUCUAUAGCUGAUCUGAGAGGAUGAUCAGCCACACUGGAACUGAGAUACGGUCCAGACUCCUACGGGAGGCAGCAGUGGGGAAUAUUGGACAAUGGGCGAAAGCCUGAUCCAGCCAUGCCGCAUGAGUGAAGAAGGCCUUCGGGUUGUAAAGCUCUUUUAGUGAGGAAGAUAAUGACGGUACUCACAGAAGAAGUCCUGGCUAACUCCGUGCCAGCAGCCGCGGUAAUACGGAGAGGGCUAGCGUUAUUCGGAAUCAUUGGGCGUAAAGGGCGCGUAGGCGGGUUAGUAAGUUAAAAGUGAAAUCCCAAGGCUCAACCUUGGAACUGCUUUUAAAACUGCUAGUCUAGAGAUUGAAAGAGGAUAGAGGAAUUCCUAGUGUAGAGAUGAAAUUCGUAAAUAUUAGGAGGAACACCAGUGGCGAANGCGUCUAUCUGGUUCAAAUCUGACGCUGANGCGCGAAGGCGUGGGGAGCAAACAGGAUUAGAUACCCUGGUAGUCCACGCUGUAAACGAUGAAUGUUAAAUAUGGGAAGUUUACUUUCUGUAUUAUAGCUNACGCGUUAAACAUUCCGCCUGGGGACUACNGUCGCAAGA